rnacentral:tRNA from 1 species
UCCCAUGUGGUCUAGUUCUUAGGAUUCAUGGUUUUCACUCACGCGGCCCGGGUUCGAUUCCCGGCAUGGGAA